GAAAUAUCUUCUAUCUUCUUCUAUCCGUGCCUUCCCUCGCCUCCCGUUAGCAGCCGCCAGGAGGAGCUCUAUCCGGUGCCGCGUCUGCCACGGUCAGCGAGAGGAGAAGGUGACGCGGUGAGGGACUAGCUCGUCCCGGUUGAGGCGCGCCGGAUCCGCCAGUCCAUCCCCGCUCCCCGUCCGCCUCGACCUCCACCGGAAGCGCUGGAGAGGGUGGAGGCACGCAGGUGUUGCUCGCCUGCCUCUCAGCCGAAAUUAAGAGAUGGGGGAGGAUGGUGGGCAUGUGGAACGGGGUGCCACCAAAGGUUCCGGGAGAAUUUCCUUCCCCACCAUGGGCGGCCGCCUGAUCCCCUCCGUGCCGCCACUCCGGACGGGCACCGACGACUCCCACGGGAUCCGGAGGGUCAUGGGCCUGGAUGUUGGGUAGUAGCUGCGGAGGACGGGGUGAAUGUUGAGAAUGGGUAUAGCGCCAACGAUUGCAUCUGUUUGCUCCUGCUAGGACACGGGAUUGUCUGCUAUGUCCGCCUUUGCGAGAUUUGCAGCUAUUGGGAUGGCAAUUGGUUCGUCCAUUGUUGGUCACUCCUUUCUUGCGUGUUAAACUGACUCUGAGUUGGAUUUUCUCUUUCGUUGCUCUGUGCAAAAUCUAGCAGGACUAAUCUCCUGUAGGCGCUAGAAGACUGAGUACUUGGCAGCUCUUCUAGGAUUGGUGAAAGAAGGUGGUGAGUUGAGGCUCAGCGUACAGUUUGUUUGGACUAACCAAGAGGACGAGAGAGGCCUGGUGCAGCGAGGUGGAGGAGGAUCUCCAACAUAGAUGCCUGGGAGGAGGAGAGGCCAUGGUGCUUGGUGCACGCUCUGCCAAUGGGAGUUCAUGAGGACGGGCAUCGGGAAUGGCUAAGCAGGGGACAACCAGGAUUACGAUGAGGGUGAGACAUCGAAGCCGGCGUCGGCAACUGUGACUGCGACUGCGACCUACAGUGUUGGCCUUGUGUUUCUGACCUGUCGCGCUCCGGUUCUGGCAGCUGCCGUUCCAAUCAAUCACCUCCAGGAGACCAGGAGCCUUCAGGCAUAUAACGGUUCAACAACUUUCGAGCUUUGACUAUGGUUAUGUAGCACGCUGACAAGACAAGAGAAUAAUGCCUCUUAAGGCAUUUGUCCGAGCUAUGCCGCCUCUCGUCAAACUCGAGCUCGACGGUCCGUCUACAGUCAAGCACAAUCCGCACAUGAUCUCCUCCCAGCUUUCGACAUGUUAUUCUUGCAUGCAAGGCUAAGCUAUCUCCACCAGCUCCUUUUUGUCCUAGCUCUUCCCUACCCUGGCAAAACCAAAUGCUACCAUCUCGUUUUUUUGCCAUGCUAAAACUUAUGUGCGUUCAUCGUCAUGGAUAGAUUAGCAACUGCCAAGCAAUCUGUCACAAAAACAUGUCAGGCAGCUAGGCAUGCGAGUGACAUGUGUGUCGGUAAGAUUGGAUGUUUGUGUGUAAAUGUAAAUCACGAAAAAUGAUCCUUGGUAUCUAGAGAAGAAACACACACACACACGAGAGAGUAAUUCAUAGUGGAUAACUGGAUAUAAAAUACCUAUUAAUGUUGUACGUGAGUUGACUCGACAUGCUGCAAGAUCUUCUGAUUUGUUCUCUGAAGGUGGCCUCCGAGUAUAGCGUUGCAUAUUCCUGAAGCAAUUGUGAUGCUCUGUUUUGUUAGGAUUAAGAUGCUUGAACAUGUAAGCAGUACACUAUCGAGCAAUAGAGAUCUUUCUCAUGCUGACUACAUGCUACCAUUUGGGCUAUACACAUUGUUUAGUAACUAAUCAUGAAGUGUCAAAGACUAGCUAUCAAAGCAAAUCUGAAUCUGCUAACUAUACUACUACUGCCACAACUAACCAAGGUUGGAGCAUAAGAAAGGAGGGGUUGCCAAGUUGAAUGCGAAGGACAAGCUUCCAGACGGUGGCUGCUCGUCCACCAACCGCCAUGGUUGGAGCCUGCUGGAGGUGGGAUGGGAAGGAACA
rnacentral:rRNA from 1 species